UCCAUAUGGGCUAGAGUUUAUCUUACUUGGAUAACUGUGGUAAUUCCAGAGCUAAUACAUGCAACUGAUAUCCCGAGGAUUUGUUGGUGGCUUACGCUGCUCGCAUUGUUCCGACGGAUGCUUUUAUUAGACCAAACCGCUGAGUGCGUGUCGUUAACCCGGCACGUAUGACUCGUUUAAUGGUGACUCUGGAUAACCUUAUUGACAAGCGCACGUACCCCUUGCUGGGACGGCGCUGCCGCUUUCGAGUGUCUGACUUAUCAGCUAUCAACCGUUCGUUAUGUGCGACCGAUGGCUUUGACGGGUAACGGGGAAUCAGAGUUCGAUUCCGGAGAGGCAGCCUGAGAAACGGCUACCACGUCCAAGGACGGCAGCAGGCACGCAAAUUACCCAAUCCCAGCUCAUGGGGGAGGUAGUGACGAAAUCUAACGAUGCGGGCGCCCUUUCUGGGGCCCCGCAAUCGGAAUGGGCACUUUCUAAACAACCUGUUGAGAACCUACUGAAGGGCAAGUCUGGUGCCAGCAGCCGCGGUAAUUCCAGCUUCAGUAGCAUCUAUUAAAGUUGCUGCGGUUAAAAGGCUCGCAGUUGAAUGUCAGUAUCGAGCGCUGGUCAGGUGGACGCUGGGGCGUGAGAACUCAAGGCGCCUCUCGUGUGCCUUUUCUGAUUCCCGGCGGCGUGUCUGUGUCUCUGUUUCUCUCUCUCUCGUUGUGGCGCAGCAGCAGGAUCACUCCGUGGUUCUCUCUGUGUUCUGCGAGUAGUAGUAGUAGCGCAGGGCGCGCGCGUCUUGUCGGCGUGGAAUAUAUGGUGCGCGAGUUGGCGUCUCUCACCAGCCCCCGUCCGUAACAAGCCUCCUCGCUUGUUUACAUAAAUGGAUCUGUUAAACGGAGUGUGCGUUGUUGUGGCUCUUCGUCGCUACUUGUUAGCGCGGGUUUGUUCGUAUCUUCGGGCAUUCUCGUGCGCUUGUCUGCGGUGUUGCGGUUGCUCUCGCACGUUGAGCUCCAUCGGUUCUGGUGUCACCUUGAGUAAAUCAGAGUGCUCAAAGCAGUCGUAGGGGCCUUGUGCCCUGUGAACAGUCUUGACGGAUUGACUUGGUUUUGCAUGGCAUGUCGGAAGACGACGUCUAGCGCUGGCUCAGAGAUAUUAUCGGUGGUGAAAGCCAGCCUAGACGUAAUGAUUAACAGGGACUGUCGAGGGCAUUGGUAUUGCGAGGCGAGAGGUGAAAUUCUAUGACCCCCGCAAGACCUCCCGAAGCGAAAGCGUCUGCCAAGGAUGUUUUCAUUAAUCAUGAACGAAAGUUAGAGGAUCGAAGGCGAUCAGAUACCGCCCUAGUUCUAACCCUAAACGAUGCCAACCAUCAAUCCGCGCGUAGCACCCUUCUUAACGGGCUCGGCGGGCAGCUCCUCAUUCUCGGGAAACCAGAGUCUCUGGGUUCCGGGGGGAGUCUGGUUGCAAAGCUGAAACUUAAAGGAAUUGACGGAAAGGCACCACCAGGCGUGGAGCCUGCGGCUUAAUUUGACUCAACACGGGCCAUCUCACCAGGCCAGCA
rnacentral:rRNA from 1 species